rnacentral:rRNA from 1 species
UACGGAGGAGGCAAGCGUUAUCCGGAAUUAUUGGGCGUAAAGAGCGCGUAGGCGGUUUCUUAAGUCAGAUGUGAAAGCCCAGGGCUUAACCCUGGAAGUGCAUUUGAAACUAAGGGACUUGAGUAUGGGAGAGGGAAGUGGAAUUCCUGGUGUAGCGGUGAAAUGCGUAGAUAUCAGGAGGAACACCGGUGGCGAAGGCGACUUCCUGGACCAAUACUGACGCUGAGGCGCGAAGGCGUGGGGAGCAAACAGG